AACAGACGGUUUGAGCUGAUUUCAGCUUCUGCUGUGCUCAAGAUUGUCAUGCUCCCUCUGGGUGUGGAAAGAGACUAAGCAUAAACGUACGAGAGAUGAUUUAGCAUCUUCCGUGGACGUGAGCUAUGUGGUUGCCUCUCUAUAAUAGGAGGAUGGAGAUUAAUAACCGCCACCCUGGACCGGAUUUAAGGACUCUUGAUCACCAGCUCUAGGUGCAUCUGUUUUUU